rnacentral:rRNA from 1 species
UGGGGAAUUUUGGACAAUGGGGGCAACCCUGAUCCAGCAAUGCCGCGUGUGUGAAGAAGGCCUUCGGGUUGUAAAGCACUUUUGUCCGGAAAGAAAACGCCGUGGUUAAUACCCCGUGGCGGAUGACGGUACCGGAAGAAUAAGCACCGGCUAACUACGUGCCAGCAGCCGCGGUAAUACGUAGGGUGCAAGCGUUAAUCGGAAUUACUGGGCGUAAAGCGUGCGCAGGCGGUCCGCUAAGACAGAUGUGAAAUCCCCGGGCUUAACCUGGGAACUGCAUUUGUGACUGGCGGGCUAGAGUAUGGCAGAGGGGGGUAGAAUUCCACGUGUAGCAGUGAAAUGCGUAGAGAUGUGGAGGAAUACCGAUGGCGAAGGCAGCCCCCUGGGCCAAUACUGACGCUCAUGCACGAAAGCGUGGGGAGCAAACAGGAUUAGAUACCCUGGUAGUCCACGCCCUAAACGAUGUCAACUAGUUGUUGGGGAUUCAUUUCCUUAGUAACGUAGCUAACGCGUGAAGUUGACCGCCUGGGGAGUACGGUCGCAAGAUUAAAACUUAAAGGAAUUGACGGGGUCAUAGCUGUUUCCU